rnacentral:tRNA from 4 species
GCCUAGAUAGCUCAGUUGGUAGAGCGUGCCCAUGGUAAGGGUAAGGUCGCCAGUUCAAUCCUGGCUCUAGGCU